UACGUAGGGGGCAAGCGUUGUCCGGAUUUAUUGGGCGUAAAGAGCGUGUAGGCGGCCAUGCAGGUCCGUUGUGAAAACUCGAGGCUCAACCUCGAGACGUCGAUGGAAACCGCAUGGCUAGAGUCCGGAAGAGGAGAGUGGAAUUCCUGGUGUAGCGGUGAAAUGCGCAGAUAUCAGGAAGAACACCCGUGGCUAAGGCGGCUCUCUAGUACGGUACUGACGCUGAGACGCGAAAGCGUGGGGAGCGAACAGG
rnacentral:rRNA from 1 species